GUCAAAUAAGCAUAAAGCAGAGAAAAUAUUUUUCUCUUGUUAUGCAAAAUAUAAAAAAAAAAUAUACAGUUCUUUGAAAGACAUGCAGAUCUAAGGAAGACAGAUACUCAUUUUUUGGUUCAAUCUUGGCAAGAAUGCAGUAAUUUAUGCAAAGUUUCAUUCACAUUUAAAAGUAACUUCAAUUUUGCACUUUCAAAUUAAAGGUAUGCUACUACACAAA
rnacentral:lncRNA from 1 species